rnacentral:rRNA from 1 species
UACGUAGGGGGCAAGCGUUAUCCGGAUUUACUGGGUGUAAAGGGAGCGUAGACGGCAGGGCAAGUCUGGAGUGAAAGGCAGGGGCCCAACCCCUGGACUGCUCUGGAAACUGUCCGGCUGGAGUGCAGGAGAGGUAAGUGGAAUUCCUAGUGUAGCGGUGAAACGCGUAGAUAUUAGGAGGAACACCAGUGGCGAAGGCGGCUUACUGGACUGUAACUGACGUUGAGGCUCGAAAGCGUGGGGAGCAAACAGG